rnacentral:rRNA from 1 species
AACGAACGCUGGCGGCAGGCUUAACACAUGCAAGUCGAGCGCCCCGCAAGGGGAGCGGCAGACGGGUGAGUAACGCGUGGGAAUCUACCCAUCUCUACGGAAUAACCCAGGGAAACUUGGAUUAAUACCGUAUACGUCCUUUUGGAGAAAGAUUUAUCGGAGAUGGAUGAGCCCGCGUUGGAUUAGCUAGUUGGUGGGGUAAUGGCCUACCAAGGCGACGAUCCAUAGCUGGUCUGAGAGGAUGAUCAGCCACACUGGGACUGAGACACGGCCCAGACUCCUACGGGAGGCAGCAGUGGGGAAUAUUGGACAAUGGGGGCAACCCUGAUCCAGCCAUGCCGCGUGAGUGAUGAAGGCCCUAGGGUUGUAAAGCUCUUUCAC